rnacentral:rRNA from 1 species
GACGGAGGAUGCAAGCGUUAUCCGGAAUGAUUGGGCGUAAAGCGUCCGCAGGUGGCAGUUCAAGUCUGCUGUCAAAAGACCGGGGCUUAACUUCGGAAAGGCAGUGGAAACUGAACAGCUAGAGUAUGGUAGGGGCAGAGGGAAUUCCUGGUGUAGCGGUGAAAAUGCGUAGAGAUCGGGAAGAACACCGGUGGCGAAAGCGCUCUGCUGGGCCACAACUGACACUCAGGGACGAAAGCUAGGGGAGCGAAAGGGAUUA